rnacentral:rRNA from 1 species
GACGAACGCUGGCGGCGUGCCUAAUACAUGCAAGUAGAACGCACAGUUUAUACCGUAGCUUGCUACACCAUAAACUGUGAGUUGCGAACGGGUGAGUAACGCGUAGGUAACCUGCCUGGUAGCGGGGGAUAACUAUUGGAAACGAUAGCUAAUACCGCAUAAUAUUAAUUAUUGCAUGAUAAUUGAUUGAAAGAUGCAAUUGCAUCACUACCAGAUGGACCUGCGUUGUAUUAGCUAGUAGGUGAGGUAACGGCUCACCUAGGCGACGAUACAUAGCCGACCUGGGGGGGUGAACGGCCACACUGGGACUGAGACACGGCCCAGACUCCUUCGGGAGGCAGCAGUAGGGAAUCUUCGGCAAUGGACGAAAAUCUGACCGAGCAACGCCGCGUGGGUGAAGAAGGGUUUCGGAUCGUAAAGCUCUGUUGUAAGAGAAGAACGGGUGUGAGGGUGAAAAGUUCACACUGUGACGGUAUCUUACCAGAAAGGGACGGCUAACUACGUG